GGGGGAGCUGGAGCUGCUGAAGGAGCAGCUGGGGGCGGCGGGGCCCCCCGAGAGCCUCUCGGACGAGGAGCUGCCGCUCGACCCCCGGCUCUACCAGGAGCUCUGCGCCGGCGCCUUCGAUGAGCACGGGCUGCCGUGGCUCAGUGACCCCGAGGACGCCCCCUUCCUCGACCCCGUCCUGCGCAAGCGCGCCGUCAAGGUCAAGCACGUCAAGCGGCGCGAGAAGAAGUCGGACAAGAAGAAGGAGGAGCGCUACAAGCGGCACCGGCAGAAGCCGCGGCACCGGGAGCGCAGCCGGCACCCCGAGCGCCCGGACGCCCGCGACCCCGCCGGGCUGGGGCAGUGCCUGGGCCCCGGCUGCACCCGCCCCGCGCGGCCGCCCUCCAAGUACUGCAGCGAGGCCUGCGGCGUCAAGCUGGCCGCCAACCGGACCCACAAGAUCCCGCCGCAGCGGAUCCCGCGCUGG